GGCUGUAGCUCAGUGGCAGAGCAGCUGCUUCUUACACAGAAGAUCUCAGGUUAAAUCCCUGGCAUCGCCA